GACGAACGCUGGCGGCGUGCCUAAUACAUGCAAGUAGAACGCACAGGAUACACCGUAGUUUACUACACCGUAUUCUGUGAGUUGCGAACGGGUGAGUAACGCGUAGGUAACCUGCCUGGUAGCGGGGGAUAACUAUUGGAAACGAUAGCUAAUACCGCAUAAGAACAUUUACUGCAUGGUGGAUGUUUAAAAGGUGCAAAUGCAUCACUACCAGAUGGACCUGCGUUGUAUUAGCUAGUAGGUGAGGUAACGGCUCACCUAGGCGACGAUACAUAGCCGACCUGAGAGGGUGAUCGGCCACACUGGGACUGAGACACGGCCCAGACUCCUACGGGAGGCAGCAGUAGGGAAUCUUCGGCAAUGGGGGGAACCCUGACCGAGCAACGCCGCGUGAGUGAAGAAGGUUUUCGGAUCGUAAAGCUCUGUUGUUAAGGAAGAACGAGUGUGAGAAUGGAAAGU
rnacentral:rRNA from 1 species